AAUCAAUUGCUUGUUGUGGCUAAUCAACAGCAUGCAUCUCACUCACGCUCAACAACACCAAAUCAGCUCUAACCGCCCUCUACCUCACGAUCCACUCCACUCUCCGAUCGCAUUCUCUUUCACUCUCUCAGUAAUGCAAUAGGAAAAUGAUAAGAUGCAGCCAAGUAACUGUAACGCAAGCACGCAGGAAAGAUGAGUCAAUUCAUGCCCAGCCUAUUGGAAAAAAAUAAAUGUGUAAAAAGUACAUAUUUGGAUUUAGUAGUCUUGGAAAAUCAUCAGGAAUUUACAGUUUAUUCAGUUCAUUCGAGAAGUCGGAGCAACACGGAAGCCUUGGCUCGUCUAGACGGUUUUUUGGGAUGUUUCCCAUGGAUAUACAUAUGUAGAUAUCCUCGCUAGACGCGUCUCCCUUCUUGGCUAGAAGAGCCUCUUCUGGAGCUGUCUUCACUGGGUUUGGCUUUUUGUGUGCCUCGUCGUCCGAAGCACUAACCUCACUGCUGGAAAUAUCCUCCGAAGAACGAUCCUCAAUGGAGAUUAAGAUCACUGCUUAAGGCCAUGAAGCUGUGUGGAGCGUAGACGGAAGUAAACAAGGAGGUCGGAUGCCAGUUUUUUCAGUCGGUUCGAAAGGUCGGAGGUAAGUCGAAUUCUAAAUGAAAUCCUAGUAAAAAAAAGCUUCAAAAGAAACAAAUUCUCUUUAGUUUUAAAGAAGCUCAACUGGUGGGACCUGGUCGGCCCAUCAUCGUUGGACUUCCCACAAAGGCAAACAAUCUGCCAAGAAAGUGAAAUUUUUCUCCAUUGAAAUCGGAUCGUUCGUCGGAGAUAAUUUCCAGUAUUGAGACUAGUACUUAAAGGACGAAGCCCGCCAAAAAGUCAGUCCAGAUGGCAGACUCUCAUCUCUCGCAACCCCUCGGGCGAUGAAACCAAAGGUCUCCAGCAAGGACUACGACAAUCGAUAAGGAAGAGCCUAUCAAGAAGCCACAACUCUGAAGACAUCAGAAGAGAGAUACAUAGGUUCCGACCUAAGGAACCAGUGGCUGCUUAAAUCUAGCAUAUGAAUGCCUGGCAGUGAGAGAACUUGAAUGAAAUAAAUGUAGAUUAAUGUAUA